rnacentral:tRNA from 1 species
CCAUAGCUCAGUUGGUAGAGCAAAGGACUGAAAAUCCUUGUGUCCCCGGUUCGAUUCCUGGUGGCACCA